rnacentral:rRNA from 1 species
AUUGAACGCUGGCGGCAGGCCUAACACAUGCAAGUCGAACGAGUGGCGGACGGGUGAGUAAUGUAUGGGAAACUGCCCGAUGGAGGGGGAUGACUACUGGAAACGGUAGAUAAUACCGCAUACCAUCGGAUGUGCCCAGAUGGGAUUAGCUAGUAGGUGGGGUAACGGCUCACCUAGGCGACCAUCCCUAGCUGGUCUGAGAGGACGACAAGCCACACUGGAACUGAGACACGGUCCAGACUCCUACGGGAGGCAGCCGUGGGGAAUAUUGCACAAUGGGCGCAAGCCUGAUGCAGCCAUGCCGCGUGUAGGAAGAAGGCCUUCGGGUUGUAAAGUACUUUCAGCGAGGAGGCGUUACUCGCCGAAGAAGCACCGGCUAACUCCGUGCCAGCAGCCGCGGUAAUAC